rnacentral:rRNA from 1 species
UACGUAGGGUGCGAGCGUUAAUCGGAAUUACUGGGCGUAAAGCGUGCGCAGGCGGUUAUUUAAGUCAGGUGUGAAAGCCCUGGCUUAACCUAGGAAUUGCGCCUGAGACUGGAUAGCUUGGAGUGCGGCAGAGGGAGGUGGAAUUCCACGUGUAGCAGUGAAAUGCGUAGAGAUGUGGAGGAACACCGAUGGCGAAGGGCAGCCUCCUGGGCCAGCACUGACGCUCAUGCACGAAAGCGUGGGGAGCAAACAGG